UACGGAGGGGACUAGCGUUGUUCGGAAUUACUGGGCGUAAAGCGCACGUAGGCGGAUUUGUAAGUCAGGGGUGAAAUCCCGGGGCUCAACCUCGGAACUGCCUUUGAUACUGCAAAUCUCGAGUCCGGAAGAGGUGAGUGGAAUUCCUAGUGUAGAGGUGAGAUUCGUAGAUAUUCGGAAGAACACCAGUGGCGAAGGCGGCUCACUGGCCCGUUACCGACGCUCAGGCGCGACAGCGUGGGGAGCAAACAGG
rnacentral:rRNA from 1 species